rnacentral:rRNA from 1 species
UACAGAGGUCUCAAGCGUUGUUCGGAUUCAUUGGGCGUAAAGGGUGCGUAGGUGGCGCGGUAAGUCGGGGUGUGAAAUUUCGGCGCUUAACUCCGAAACUGCAUUUGAUACUGGCGUGCUUGAGGACUGGAGAGGAGACUGGAAUUCACGGUGUAGCAGUGAAAUGCGUAGAUAUCGUGAGGAAGACCAGUGGCGAAGGCGGGUCUCGUGGACAGUUCCUGACGCUGAGGCACGAAGGCCAGGGGAGCAAACGGG